AUUCCGGAGAGGGAGCCUGAGAAACGGCUACCACAUCUAAGGAAGGCAGCAGGCGCGUAAAUUACCCACUCCCAGUUCGGGGAGGUAGUGACGAAAAAUAACAAUACAGGACUCAUAUCCGAGGCCCUGUAAUUGGAAUGAGUACACUUUAAAUCCUUUACCAAGGACCAAUUGGAGGGCAAGUCUGGUGCCAGCAGCCGCGGUAAUUCCAGCUCCAAUAGCGUAUAUUAAAGUUGUUGCGGUUAAAACGUUCGUAGUUGAAUUUGUGCUUCAUACGGGUAGUACAACUACAAUUGUGGAUUGUACAUUACCUUAUGUAUGCAAGCGUAUAACCGGUGGAGUUCUAAUAUAUAAUGGUACUUUGUGUCAUUAUGUAUACCUCCUAUUUAAACCUGCUUCAGUGCUCUUUACCGAGUGCUGUUGUGGGCCGGCUCUAUUACUUUGAACAAAUUAGAGUGCUUAAAGCAGGCUCCAAAUGCCUGAAUAUUUUGUGCAUGGAAUAAUGAAAUAAGACUUCUGAUCUAUCUUCAUUGGUUUUUAGAUCAAGAGGUAAUGAUUAAUAGAAGCAGUUUGGGGGCAUUAGUAUUACGACGCGAGAGGUGAAAUUCUUGGACCGUCGUAAGACUAACUUAAGCGAAAGCAUUUGCCAAAGAUGUUUUCAUUAAUCAAGAACGAAAGUUAGAGGUUCGAAGGCGA
rnacentral:rRNA from 1 species